ACGACUAUACUUUCAGAGAUCAUUUCUAUAGUGACUGAUUAGGAAAUGUGAUUUGAAAGUGAUCUGUCUCUCUAAUCCCGAUGAAGAACUGUGAUGUAUUCUUCUGAGCGCAAAUCAGAUACAAGCUAAUGAUUUUUGUCACAGGCUUGAGUCAUUGAUGAAUGUUCUCUGUUUCCUGAGAAGUAGAGUACAUGAUCAGAGUGAU